UACAGAGGGUGCAAGCGUUAAUCGGAAUUACUGGGCGUAAAGCGUGCGUAGACGGUCAUGUAAGUCGGGUGUGAAAGCCCCGGGCUCAACCUGGGAAUUGCAUUCGAGACUGCAUGGCUAGGGUGCGGAAGAGGGAAGCGGAAUUUCCGGUGUAGCGGUGAAAUGCGUAGAUAUCGGAAGGAACACCAGUGGCGAAAGCGGCUUCCCUGGUCCAGGCACCGACGUCAGGC
rnacentral:rRNA from 1 species